GGGGAAAAAAUGGCGCCUUGAACUUAUCAAUCUCAUCCUCCAACAGCCUCACAAAAACGAUCCCUUCUUUCAUCACAACCACUACCGCCUCCUCCUCUCCACUUCCCCGCUGCCGUCGUUGGAGAAUCUACACCGUUUUUCCGACUUAGCAUCGCCGUUUUUCUGGCUAGUUGCUCUAGUUUGAGAAAGGAGCACUAGAUUUGGGAGUUUUUUCUUAUCGGCACUGAUUUGGAGUUGAAGAGGCGAUAACCCACUUCGUGUUGGCUGAGGAUGGUUCGAUUACUGCUGUGCUAGGAUUUCAGUCCAGAUUUCGUUCUGUGUUCCGCCCAAAGGUAACGGAUAAGUGUUGGAGGCUUAGCAUUCAUGAGCCAAGUAUCUAGGCUUUUGUGGUUUUCUAUAACCACCUUCAACUAGAUCGGCUUCCACAAAAUUCUAGUAUCAUGCAAGUUGAUCCAGAGAUACGCAUAGAGUAUGGAGGAAUUGCCCGGACAAUUACGCAAACCCCAUAUCCAUAUGGCACCCACGUACUCCAGACGGUUUUGUUUCUCCGGGAUGCAUAGCUGUGCCCAGUUUUGAAGAGCCAGAUUCUGAUUUAGUGUACUGCGUGGCUGAAUCAAUUGCCGAGGAGACAGUAUUUGAAGACCAAAAGAUUUGGUUAGCACCAAAUUCAUAUCUAUGGGCAUGUCACAUUUAUCAGGUGAAAAGUGAUGCUCUGCACUUUGUUGCAUUGAUAUUGCCUAGAGAAGAAUCCGGUUGGAGGCCGAUUAGAGUUCUUGAUGAGCUCGAGCCCACAAUACAACAAUCAGAAGAUUCAUGAUCGGUAAUUUGAUAGCCUUUCAGCUUUUGAACUGGGGGUGGUUGUGGUUGGUUUGUACAUGCAAGUAUUGUUUCGGGAAAAGGGUUUUACUUAUUAAGGUUCACGGCACUACCCGGAUCUAAAAAAACAUAGACGGCUUGUUUGCGAAAGCUUUUACAUUUGUAAAAGCUUGUAGGGGAAAACAGAAUUACGUUAGUUAUUUUUCAAUGAGUUCAAUUAGUCAGACUCUUUUAUGUAGUUUUUGUUGGGAAAUUGUUUCCCAAGCUAAUGUAAUGAAUCUUUAUUCAAUGGUUGAAUUGUUUAUUGUAUAUUGACAUUUGGAUAUAGUUGGUGUUGAAUGGAAUAAAUCAUUUUUGUUUCUUAAAUAAAA